CAUGCGCAGCUUACCAUGCAGUCGAACGGAGAUUCAGCAAUGGAUCUUAGUGGCGAACGGGUGAGUAACGCGUAGGCAAUCUGCCUUCUAGAUGGGGACAACAUCCCGAAAGGGGUGCUAAUACCGAAUGUUGUACCGUUUCCGCAUGGAGAUGAUACUAAAGGUGGCCUCUGAAUAUGCUACCGCUAGAAGAUGAGCCUGCGUCUGAUUAGCUAGUUGGAGGGGUAACGGCCCACCAAGGCUUCGAUCAGUAGCCGGUCUGAGAGGAUGAACGGCCACACUGGGACUGAGACACGGCCCAGACUCCUACGGGAGGCAGCAGUGGGGAAUCUUCCGCAAUGGACGAAAGUCUGACGGAGCAACGCCGCGUGAGUGAAGAAGGUUUUCGGAUCGUAAAGCUCUUUCGUUAGGGACGAACGUGCUCUUUGUGAAUAAUGAGGAGUAAUGACGGUACCUAAAUAAGAAGCCACGGCUAACUACGUGCCAGCAGCCGCGGUAAUACGUAGGUGGCAAGCGUUGUCCGGAAUUAUUGGGCGUAAAGCGCGCGCAGGCGGGAUAUCAAGUCUGUCUUAAAAGUGCGAGGCUCAACCUCGUGAGGGGACGGAAACUGGUAUUCUUGAGUGUCGGAGAGGAAAGUGGAAUUCCAAGUGUAGCGGUGAAAUGCGUAGAGAUUUGGAAGAACACCAGUGGCGAAGGCGACUUUCUGGACGAUGUCUGACGCUGAGGCGCGAAAGCUAGGGGAGCGAACGGGAUUAGAUACCCCGGUAGUCCUAGCCGUAAACGAUGGGUACUAGGUGUAGGGGGUAUCGACCCCUCCUGU
rnacentral:rRNA from 1 species